ACUCCUGCGGGAGGCAGCAGUGGGGAAUUUUGGACAAUGGGCGAAAGCCUGAUCCAGCCAUGCCGCGUGCAGGAUGAAGGCCUUCGGGUUGUAAACUGCUUUUGUACGGAACGAAACGGCCUUUUCUAAUAAAGAGGGCUAAUGACGGUACCGUAAGAAUAAGCACCGGCUAACUACGUGCCAGCAGCCGCGGUAAUACGUAGGGUGCAAGCGUUAAUCGGAAUUACUGGGCGUAAAGCGUGCGCAGGCGGUUAUGUAAGACAGUUGUGAAAUCCCCGGGCUCAACCUGGGAACUGCAUCUGUGACUGCAUAGCUAGAGUACGGUAGAGGGGGAUGGAAUUCCGCGUGUAGCAGUGAAAUGCGUAGAUAUGCGGAGGAACACCGAUGGCGAAGGCAAUCCCCUGGACCUGUACUGACGCUCAUGCACGAAAGCGUGGGGAGCAAACAGGAUUAGAUACCCUAGUAGUCCCAUG
rnacentral:rRNA from 1 species